UACGUAGGGUGCAAGCGUUGUCCGGAAUUAUUGGGCGUAAAGAGCUCGUAGGUGGUCCCGUCACGUCGGGUGUGAAAACCCAGGGCUCAACCUGGGCGUGCACUCGAUACGGGCGGACUAGAGUUCGGUAGGGGAGACUGGAAUUCCUGGUGUAGCGGUGGAAUGCGCAGAUAUCAGGAGGAACACCGGUGGCGAAGGCGGGUCUCUGGGCAGUAACUGACGCUGAGGAGCGAAAGCGUGGGGAGCGAACAGG
rnacentral:rRNA from 1 species